rnacentral:rRNA from 1 species
AUUGAACGCUGGCGGCAGGCCUAACACAUGCAAGUCGAGCGGAUGAAGAGAGCUUGCUCUCUGAUUCAGCGGCGGACGGGUGAGUAAUGCCUAGGAAUCUGCCUGGUAGUGGGGGACAACGUUUCGAAAGGAACGCUAAUACCGCAUACGUCCUACGGGAGAAAGCAGGGGACCUUCGGGCCUUGCGCUAUCAGAUGAGCCUAGGUCGGAUUAGCUAGUUGGUGAGGUAAUGGCUCACCAAGGCGACGAUCCGUAACUGGUCUGAGAGGAUGAUCAGUCACACUGAAACUGAGACACGGUCCAGACUCCUACGGGAGGCAGCAGUGGGGAAUAUUGGACAAUGGGCGAAAGCCUGAUCCAGCCAUGCCGCGUGUGUGAAGAAGGUCUUCGGAUUGUAAAGCACUUUAAGUUGGGAGGAAGGGCAGUAAGUUAAUACCUUGCUGUUUUGACGUUACCGACAGAAUAAGCACCGGCUAACUCUGUGCCAGCCGCCGCGGUAACAC